rnacentral:rRNA from 1 species
CGGGGGGAGCAAGCGUUGUUCGGAUUUACUGGGCGUAAAGGGCGCGUAGGCGGCGCAACAAGUCACUUGUGAAAUCUCCGGGCUUAACCCGGAGCGGCCAAGUGAUACUGUCGUGCUAGAGUGCGGAAGGGGCUACUGGAAUUCUCGGUGUAGCGGUGGAAUGCGUAGAUAUCGAGGGGAACACCUGCGGCGAAGGCGGGUAGCUGGGCCGACACUGACGCUGAGGCGCGAAAGCCAGGGGAGCGAACGGGAUUAGAUACCCCGGUAGUCCUGGCCUUAAACGAUGGAUGCUUGGUGUCCGGGGUUACAUAGUCCCCGGGUGCCGGCGCUAACGCAUUAAGCAUCCCGCCUGGGGAGUACGGUCGCAAGACUG